GGAAAGAUGAAUCAAAGAAGGUAAUAAUCCUGUAGUCGAAAAUGUUGUCUCUCUUGAGUGGAUCCUGAGUACGACGGAGCACGUGAAAUUCCGUCGGAAUCUGGGAGGACCAUCUCCUAAGGCUAAAUACUCUCUAGUGACCGAUAGUGAACCAGUACCGUGAGGGAAAGGGGAAAAGCACCCCGGAAGGGGAGUGAAAUAGAACCUGAAACCGUGUGCUUACAAGUAGU
rnacentral:rRNA from 1 species